GUGGGGAAUAUUGGACAAUGGGGGGAACCCUGAUCCAGCCAUGCCGCGUGUGUGAAGAAGGCCUUUUGGUUGUAAAGCACUUUAAGCGGGGAGGAGGCUCUUGAGGAUAAUACCCUUGAUGAGUGGACGUUACCCGCAGAAUAAGCACCGGCUAACUCUGUGCCAGCAGCCGCGGUAAUACAGAGGGUGCGAGCGUUAAUCGGAUUUACUGGGCGUAAAGCGUGCGUAGGCGGCUGAAUAAGUCGGAUGUGAAAUCCCCGAGCUUAACUUGGGAAUUGCAUACGAUACUGUUUGGCUAGAGUAUGGGAGAGGAUGGUAGAAUUCCAGGUGUAGCGGUGAAAUGCGUAGAGAUCUGGAGGAAUACCGAUGGCGAAGGCAGCCAUCUGGCCUAAUACUGACGCUGAGGUACGAAAGCAUGGGGAGCAAACAGGAUUAGAAACCCUUGUAGUCC
rnacentral:rRNA from 1 species